CAGCCGCCGCGGUAAUACAGAGGUCUCAAGCGUUGUUCGGAAUCACUGGGCGUAAAGGGUGCGUAGGUGGCGUGGUAAGUCAGAUGUGAAAGCCCGGGGCUCAACCUCGGAACAGCAUCCGAUACUGCCGUGCUAGAGUACUGAAGAGGUGACUAGAAUUCUCGGUGUAGCAGUGAAAUGCGUAGAUAUCGAGAGGAAUACCAAAGGCGAAGGCAGGUCACUGGGCAGUUACUGACACUGAGGCACGAAGGCCAGGGGAGCAAACGGGAUUAGAUACCCCAGUAGUCCCUGUCUCUUAUAC
rnacentral:rRNA from 1 species